AGGGUAACGCUGCAUACAAAGGAAAACAGUGGAAUAAGGCGGUCAGUUUUUAUACAGAGGCAAUAAAAUUGAAUGAUGCAAAUGCUACCUACUAUUCCAAUCGGGCAGCUACUUAUUUGGAGUUGGGAUGCUAUCAGCAAGCUGAAGAAGAUUGUAGCAAGGCAAUAUCUCUGGAUAAAAAGUACGUGAAGGCCUAUUUGAGACGAGGGACAGCUAAAGAAUCACUGCUUUUCUACAAAGAAGCUAUUGAAGACUUCAAGCAUGCACUCGUUCUGGAACCACAAAAUAAAGUCGCCGGUCAAGCGGAAAAGAGGCUAAGGAAAUUAAUCAGUUAAAUCUUCU